rnacentral:lncRNA from 1 species
GAGCCAAGAAGAGGACCAGUGGAAGGGCUGGCCGUGGGAUGUCCCUGGGAUAAGGAGAGCCUCUCAGGACUUCUUUCGGAAGACUUGGGAUACAGCUGGCUCUGUGAUUGUUCUGGACGCGAGGUCUCUCUGCUCUUCAGGGACUUGGUGGAAAACCUGGUUUUACUCACUGGUAGCAAGAUCUCCCCUCCCCAAACCCCAUCCCUGAGAGCUUUAGAUAGACGUGUGUUGUGAGGAAGGGACGCUGGGAUGUGUUCUCAAGGAGAGAAGAAACACUAGAGGAACCGGGAACUGUAGUUAGACGGAGAAACCUGCUUGUGAGAAGUUACUUGUGUUCUUAGCCAGUCUGCCGGAGCGGUUUGGGGCUCCCUGGGAGAGAGUUAUGUGAGCUGAGCCUCUUCUUACCAGGCACACCAAGAGCCAGUCUACAACAUACCAAAAACAGGACCUUCCGUUCCACUACUUACCAGAGAAUUGUUCAGACUGGUCUCCAGGAGAGUCCUUUAUACAAGAUCCUUUCCACGGGGUCUAGAGGUCCUCACUGAACAGAACCCAGUCACAGAAAAGGAGCUUUGCAUUAAUUCGUGUGCCACCAACACGUCUACUAUUUUCCCUGAAUCUGACCUUUCAAAGGCCCCGUGGCUCCUAAUGUCUUCAAUCCAUUUCAGCAAUGCUUCACACCGACACGAACACUGUGCAACUUUCAGUCUCUACCUAAAAGAAAUGACAUUCUGUGGACGCUUCCCGGCGUCACCGGGUCUGGGAUCAUCAACACUCCUGUCGUCCUGAGCACUUGCAGUUCACACCUGUAUCCGGGCUUCUAUUUGGCUCUGGCAUGUCUCCAGAAGCCUCAGCGCCUGCCUCCCAGGCCUGCCUGACUCCUCAGAGCUUCACCCUAGUGUGACAGGGUGAACACCUACAGCUCUCUAUGCCUAGGUUUGCUCACAAUGACUAGGAAAGUGUGGUGUCAACAGUGCCCUGCCUCUGAUAUGGGAGAAGAUGUGGCCAUCUUAACAAGCAUGAGUGGUGGGACAAGGUUACUAAAUGUGACUCAACACUCUUUGUCCUAGUUAGCCAAGGGCUUACUGACACCAGACAGAGGUAGGUGGUGUGACAGUGGUGACCACAGCAAAAUGCCCAGUCUCCUCUGCUAUCCCAUCCCCACUAAAGGUUUAGGGGAAGAUGGUCUCCCUUGUCCUGGACUAGUCUGUGGCUGGGUAGGAGAUGUUCAGCUGCUGACCUCUGUGCCCAAUAGAAGUUUAAACGGCACAGCCUCAACCCGUGCCCCCUUGAGGAGUCAGGUUCUUUUUGAAGUUGGUGACUGGCAUUCUUCCAUGGCUGGUAGAUCUAUUAGGUUUGUGCAGAUUUCAUUUGGGUUUGUUCUGAUUUGAGGGGUAAAUCCCAAUUUGAAUGGACCUUUCCACCAUGGGGAGUGGGGCAAAUUCCAGUGGGUGGGAGGCUAUGGGAUCAUGGGGGCCAUGAUGCAGCUGGUCACACUGCAUCUACAGUCAGUGAGCAGGGAGAAGAAACUCUAUUACUAACUCAUUAUCUCCUUCAUCCCUUUCUGUUCAGUCUUGGGCCCCAGCCAUGAGAUAAUGGCAGCCAUUCAGGGAGGUUUUCCUUCCUGUUAAAGCUCUCUGAAAACUCCCUCAUGGGCGCAUCCAGAAGUGUGUCUCCUAGGUGACUCCAAAUCCUGUCAAGUUGAUAAGCAAAGCUAACCAUUACAAUAGAAUAGUUAAGUUUCCUUACAUGGAAAUCAAUUGUGGAAAUCUAUCUUCUUGGUUUAUUCAAAUGCAGACUUGUAGAUUGUUUAUCAUUUUUAAACUCAGGGAUCCUUCUCUUAUAAAAGCAUUUACAUAUUCUACCCACUUUACUCUUUGUUAUUUAUAACAAGCAGAUAUUGAGCUAACAAGGACUUGGAUUUUGUGCCUUGCCUUUAUAAAAAACAUGAAUGUUCUACUUGUUUUAUAGAAACAAUUUUUGACCAUUCUUUUGGUUUCUUUUUUGGUCCAAAUGUUAUUUAAAAAAAAUUUUUAAACU